rnacentral:tRNA from 3 species
AAUGAAUUGCCUGACAAAAGGGUUACCUUGAUAGGGUAAAUUAUGUAAUAAGAUUACAUUCAUUA